UACGUAGGAGGCAAGCGUUAUCCGGAUUUAUUGGGCGUAAAGCGCACGCAGGCGGUCUGGUCAGUUCAUGGUGACAGUCACCGGCUUCACUGGUGAAGUACCGGGAACACUGCCAGACUUGAGAGCGAGAGAGGGACAUGGAAUUCCGGGUGGAGUGGUGAAAUGCGUAGAUAUCCGGAAGAACACCGAAGGCGAAGGCAGUGUCCUGGCUCGUAUCUGACGCUCAGGGGCGAAAGCUAGGGGAG
rnacentral:rRNA from 1 species